rnacentral:rRNA from 1 species
UAAAACGUAGGAGACGAACGUUAUCCGGAGUUACUGGGCGUAAAGGGCGUGCAGGCGGCUUGAUAAGUUCGGCGUGAAAUUUCCCGGCUUAACCGGGGGAUGUCGUCGGAGACUGUCGAGCUAGAGGGUGAUAGAGGCGUGUGGAAUUCCGGGUGUAGUGGUGAAAUGCGUAGAGAUCCGGAGGAACACCAGUGGCGAAGGCGACACGCUGGGUCAUACCUGACGCUAAAACGCGACAGCAUGGGGAGCGAACGGGAUUAGAAACCCCGGUAGUCCAUGCCGUAAACGAUGCCAACUCGGUGUUUGGUCCGGGGAACCGGACUGGGUACCCAAGCAAACGCGGUAAGUUGGCCGCCUGGGGAGUACGGUCGCAAGAUUA